rnacentral:lncRNA from 1 species
AGGAAUUUAAGCAUUACGAAAUGUAGAAAUUUGAAGCAAAUGAUCCAUAAUAAGAUUAUAAAACAUUGUGCAGAAAUAUUUUGUUCUUGGAUAAAACAAAAAAAACAUUAUUUUUGAAAGAUGAUGGCUGGGUAUGACAUUUUGUACUGCUCCAAGUAAAUUUUUUUCUUUGCUGUAAUAUGGAUGAAAAUAGUAACUUCCAUGAUUUCGACGACUCUGUCAAAGAGAUGGUCUCUUUGACAUGCACUGGAAUUUAUUAUUGAGAGCAUGUGAUUUUAAGCAUGUUGGCCAAUUGAACACCUUCAUCAUCUCACCCUCAGAUGCAUCUUGUUGAGCCAGAUUUAGACCGGGCCUGUAUAAUCUGAAAUAUUGAUAUAUUCUUGAACCAUGGGGAAUCUAUUCUAAGAUGUGAGUUGAUUUCAUCUGUCAUAUAAUUGGAUCCUAUUAAAGAAAUCUGACUGUUUCUUCCUGAGAGAUAUCAUGAGCUCAAGCUACAUCUGAACCUGCAGAUAUAAAGAUUUUAGGUUACUCUCUGCAGAGACAUGAACAUUUUGUAUGGCAAAAAAAUGGGAAAACAAGGCGCAAUGUUACCCUGGGAUAUCUCCCAACAAAUUGGGAAGAGUUUGAUUUAUUUAAACCCGCAUUGUAGAUACAAGAAAAAAACGACAACCCUAGUUAAUUGGAAAAAGGCUAUGAUGAUGAUAACAAUAAUGCUUUACAAUACUGAUGACAUAUAAAUAUGCACAUGCACAAGGCAACAUGAAAUGAACAAUCGAAUAGCUGUUUUCAACCAUCGACAACGUAGAGAAUUUGACAAGACUACCUCAAACAGUAUGCAACCUACUAUGUCAAUACAGCAUUGCAUAUUUUCAAAUCACAUUUUCGUCAUGUAUAUAACAGUUUUGAUAUUAGAUAAAAAACACUAAAAAGAUGGCAAUUUAUGAAGUAGUUAAAAAUUUAAAUUAGUUUCUUCAAUAGCAACAUCAUCAGUAUCCAAGUCUGAUUCCAAUUAUUUGGGGUUGGCUCUCUGAAUCAAGUACCUCCAUUUUUCUCCAUUAAUAGCCAUACUUUCAGUAAAAUCAAAAGUCAUAAUAUAUUUUCUCACUAUUUCUUCAAUAGCGACCUAGAUGUUAAAAAAUGUUCCAAAUUAAAGUAAAUGAAAACAUAAUGUAGCUCAUUUAUAAUUAUCAUAUUUUAAAUUGAAUAUAAUAUAGCAUAUGGGCAUAUGGUGAUCAAAUUUUACAGGUUUUGCAACAGAUUGCUCUUUAUUAUGAUUAUUCAUACUUAUAAGCAACAGAAAGAUUAUGAAACAACUAUAGCUCAAGCCACAAGCGCAUUUUCCAGGCAUGGUUGUCUUUUAUAUCUGAAGAAUGUGAUUUUAAAACUUUUGAUCAUUCUCUCUCACGUAUGUAGAAAAAAAUAUGCAUAAUAUUCAUUUCCUUGCACCUAAUAUAUGUGGACCUCAAUGACUUCUAGAAUAUCAGGAAGUUCAGUAGGUACCACUUUCUAAUAUAUCAGAAGUUGUUUUAGGCACCUCCAACUGA